rnacentral:rRNA from 1 species
UACGUAGGGUGCAAGCGUUAUUCGGAAUUACUGGGCGUAAAGCGUGCGCAGGCGGUUCGUCGUGUCCGAUGUGAAAGCCCCGGGCUCAACCUGGGAAUGGCAUUGGAAACUGGCGGGCUUGAGUGUGGCAGAGGGGGGUGGAAUUCCGCGUGUAGCAGUGAAAUGCGUAGAGAUGCGGAGGAACACCGAUGGCGAAGGCAGCCCCCUGGGCUAACACUGACGCUCAGGCACGAAAGCGUGGGGAGCAAACAGG